rfam:Eucalyptus grandis cultivar BRASTZ1 unplaced genomic scaffold scaffold_9, whole genome shotgun sequence.
AAGAGUAAAUUGUCUUUUCGGAUAAAAUUGGAAUAAUACGGAGAUGAUUGGCAUGGAUUUGCGCAAGAUGACAGGGACAAAUCGAGAAAUGGUACAAAUUUAC